rnacentral:rRNA from 1 species
AACGUCUCAGUUCGGAUUGUAGUCUGCAACUCGACUACAUGAAGCUGGAAUCGCUAGUAAUCGCGAAUCAGAAUGUCGCGGUGAAUACGUUCCCGGGUCUUGUACACACCGCCCGUCACACCAUGGGAGUCGGAAAUGCCCGAAGUCAGUGACCCAACCGUAAGGAGGGAGCUGCCGAAGGUGGAGCCGGUAACUGGGGUGAAGUCGUAACAAGGUACC